ACUGGUCAGGGCUCCUCCUUGUUUUUUAAAUAUAUUUUCUGAGUUAUUUUUUUAGUGGUUGCCUUCUCUAGCUGUACCAAUUAACAUCUUAAUUUAUAACAAUUAGUUCAAUUAAUACCAAUUUAAUUUAAAUAAUAUAUAAAAUCUUUUUUCUGUAUUGUUCCAUUUUCUCUUUUUGUUGUGAUUGUCACAAAUUAUUCUUUUAUACAUAUAUACUCAUGACCCUAGACUUACAAUUAUUUUGAUGCAGUUAUUUAAAAAUAUGAAAGGGAAAGUUAUAUAACUAUUUUUUUCUUGAUUAACCUAUGCUUUGGUUGCAGCCACUUCUUGGUCAGUUUCCGUAUUUCCAAAGUUGAUUCUUCAAGCUUUUCCCUGUUGUUGUUUUGUUUUGUUUUUUGUUAUUUAUGUUUUAUGGAGGAACAUAUUUUUGGAUUUGUUCUUACACUGCCACAUCACCAAUGUCACUUUUCAUUUCUUAUUUCCCAGUCACUAAUGAUGUUCAGCAUAUUUUAAUGUGUUUGUCACUUGUAUGUCUUCAUUGGGAAAAUGUCUGUUAAAAUAAUUUCAAGUUUUUAAUUGGGUUAUUUGUCCCCUUGAGUUGAAAGAGUUCAUUAUAUGUUAUGAAAAAAGUUUUUUCAGAGAGAUAAUUUGAAUCUGCGACUUGUAUUUUGCCUACAUAAACGGUGUGCAUAAGACACAUAAUACAUAUAAAUAUUGAUAAAGUAAACUUAUGUAUAUUUUUGUUAAUUCUUUGAGCAGUGGAUAUUUAUUGUUUCUAUUCUUACUGUUUUCAAGAUGAACUAUGUUAGUUUAUCCUUUGUAAUGUAGACAUGACAAGGAAUGGAUCAUGUGUUGAAUCACACAUGUUGUGAUUGAUAAAAAUUAAAAUGGUUAGGGCUGUACUCCUUAAAGAUACCUCAAAAUAUUAUGUGCACAUAAUAUUUGAGUCUACUUAGUAAAGGUUUUGUGUUCCAGUCAAGAAGAUGUUAUUUUGACAAAUUAUGCUUGAAUUUCCUUAGAAAUCACUGUACGGAACGAAGCCCACAGGGGGAGGAACUCCAAGAUUGCUGAAUUGGCAUAUGCCCUAUUCCCGCCAGGGCUGGCCAUGGGACAUGAACUAUGUGAAACAGCAAUGGGCACACUUAUGGUAUUACUUUUGACUGAUCCUUGCACGGCCUACCCUGAAGUAAGUUUCUCAAGCAUACAUGCUUUUUCUAAACUGGUCUGAUGAACAUGCUAUGCAAGGCUCUCCAUUGGCCAAGAGAAGAAGACCUUCCUCUUCUUUGAUGACCACAGAUGUGUGGGACUCCUGGAAAAACUAUGGGCCUGGGUUUGCACCAUGCUCUUGAAUUGAUCCUGAAGUAAGCAUUCAUCUGCCCCAAGUUCUGCCAUUUGCUUGAAGACUUCAUAGACCCACUAUAGAGAACUCAAGGUGUGUCUCUAAUGGCACGCGAGUGUUCACUCUCACAGUGGAUGGACAGUUACACCUGCUCAGUGGUUGGGUCUGGAUCCUCAGGCUUCUGAAGAGCAUGGAGACCUGCUGAGCCUACCCUCCUGACUGUGCCUGCAUCACGGACUGAAUCCAGAUUGAGAACAACUCCCUCCUACGCCUGAGAGUCAUGAUGGAGUGGCCACGUAAGGCUCGCAAUCAACGAUGAAGAAACUGUUUCUCUCCUUUAACGACCAGAGGUGUGCUGGAUCCUGGAGGAAGUGUGUCCUGGGUGUGCACCAUGCUUGUCUAUUUCUCAGGAAGGUGGCGUGGCCAUGCAGGGCUCACCAUCGGCUAUGAAGAGACAACCUACCUUUCCUUUGAUGGUGGGCAGUACACUGGAAUCCUGGAAAAAGCGUGUCCCUUGGUGCGCACCAUGCCUGUGGAUUGCUCAGGAAGAUGGAGUGGCCAUGCAGGAUCAUCAUCAGCAACGAAGAGACAACAUUCUUUUCCUUUGAUGACCAGAGGUGUCCGAGAGUCCAGGAAGACGUGUCCCUGGGUGUACACCAGCCUGUGGCUCGCUCAGGAAGGUGGAGUGGCAAUGCAAGGCUCGCCAUCAGCAAUGAGAUGACCUACUUUUCCUUGGAUGACUGGAGGUGUGCAGGAGUCCCGGAACACGUGUUCCUGGGUGUGCAUGAUACCCAUGGAUCGCUUAGGAAGGUAGAGCUGCAUUGCAAGGUUCUUCAUCAGCCAAGAAAAGAAGACAUUUCUCUGCCUGGAUGACCUGAGAUUCAUGGGAGUCCAAUAGGAAGUGUGGCCCUGAGUGUGCACCAUGCCUCAGGAUCACUCAGGAAGAUGGAGUGGCUGUGCAAGGCUCCCCAUCAACCAUGAAGAGCUGACCUUCCUUUCCUUUGAUGACCAGAGGUGUCGGGGAGCCCUGGAAGACGUGUGUCCCUGGGUGCACACCAUGCCUGUGGAUUGCUCAGCAAGGUGGAGUGGCCAUGCAAGGUUUUCCAUCAGCCAUGAAAAAUCAACCUUCCUUUCCUUUGAUGACUGGAGGUGUGUGGGAGGCCUGUUAGACGUGUGUCCCUGGGUGUGCACCCUGCCUGUGGAUGGCUGAAGAAGGUGGAGUGGCCGUGCAAGGCUCGCCAUCCCCCAUGAAGAUGACCUUCCUUUCCUUUGAUGACUGGAGGUGUGUGGGAGGCCUGUUAGACAUGUGUCCCUGGGUGUGCACCCUGCCUGUGGAUGGCUCAAGAAGGUAAGCUUUCCUCUGCCCCAAGUUCUAACAUUUGGUUGAGGAUGUCACAGGCUGAUGCAGACAGCCUUUCCACAUGUCCCCAGUGUUGUCCUGGGCUUUGAUCUAGAGUGGAGUGACUGUUCCUCUUACCCAGUUUUUUGUAUAUAGUUAAUGUAAACAACUGGAGAACUUUGAGGUCAUUGGCUCACUAGAUGAGCCUCCACCCUGCCAGGCCAAAAUAUUCUGCUUCC